GAUUUCCUUGUCUUGGGGAGCCUGGAAUGCUCAAUGAACGUGUAGUGAGAGCAGUCCUGCUAUCACCAUAGCAACACUUCCGCACCUCCUGGCCGGUAUCGGUGAGGUUCUGGUGCAAUUUUUGGAACC